rnacentral:rRNA from 1 species
GGUCAAGUGAAGAAGCGCAUACGGUGGAUGCCUUGGCAGUCAGAGGCGAUGAAAGACGUGGUAGCCUGCGAAAAGCUUCGGGGAGUCGGCAAACAGACUGUGAUCCGGAGAUGUCUGAAUGGGGGAACCCAGCCAUCAUAAGAUGGUUAUCUUGUACUGAAUACAUAGGUGCAAGAGGCGAACCAGGGGAACUGAAACAUCUAAGUACCCUGAGGAAAAGAAAUCAACCGAGAUUCCCUUAGUAGUGGCGAGCGAACGGGGACCAGCCCUUAAGUUGUAUUGAGAUUAGCGGAACGUUCUGGAAAGGACGGCCAUAGUGGGUGAUAGCCCUGUACGCGAAAAUCCCUUUGCAAUGAAAUCGAGUAGGACGGGGCACGAGAAACCUUGUCUGAAUAUGGGGGGACCAUCCUCCAAGGCUAAAUACUACUGACUGACCGAUAGUGAACCAGUACCGUGAGGGAAAGGCGAAAAGAACCGCGGAGAGCGGAGUGAAAUAGAUCCUGAAACCGUAUGCGUACAAGCAGUGGGAGCCCACUUGUUGGGUGACUGCGUACCUUUUGUAUAAUGGGUCAGCGACUUAUUUUCAGUGGCGAGCUUAACCGAAUAGGGGAGGCGUAGCGAAAGCGAGUCUUAAUAGGGCGUCUAGUCGCUGGGAAUAGACCCGAAACCGGGCGAUCUAUCCAUGGGCAGGUUGAAGGUUGGGUAACACUAACUGGAGGACCGAACCGACUACCGUUGAAAAGUUAGCGGAUGACCUGUGGAUCGGAGUGAAAGGCUAAUCAAGCUCGGAGAUAGCUGGUUCUCCUCGAAAGCUAUUUAGGUAGCGCCUCAUGUAUCACUGUAGGGGGUAGAGCACUGUUUCGGCUAGGGGGUCAUCCCGACUUACCAAACCGAUGCAAACUCCGAAUACCUACAAGUGCCGAGCAUGGGAGACACACGGCGGGUGCUAACGUCCGUCGUGAAAAGGGAAACAACCCAGACCGUCAGCUAAGGUCCCAAAGUCAUGGUUAAGUGGGAAACGAUGUGGGAAGGCUUAGACAGCUAGGAGGUUGGCUUAGAAGCAGCCACCCUUUAAAGAAAGCGUAAUAGCUCACUAGUCGAGUCGGCCUGCGCGGAAGAUGUAACGGGGCUCAAACCAUGCACCGAAGCUACGGGUAUCAUCUUUUGAUGAUGCGGUAGAGGAGCGUUCUGUAAGCCUGUGAAGGUGAGUUGAGAAGCUUGCUGGAGGUAUCAGAAGUGCGAAUGCUGACAUGAGUAACGACAAUGGGUGUGAAAAACACCCACGCCGAAAGACCAAGGUUUCCUGCGCAACGUUAAUCGACGCAGGGUUAGUCGGUCCCUAAGGCGAGGCUGAAAAGCGUAGUCGAUGGAAAACAGGUUAAUAUUCCUGUACUUCUGGUUAUUGCGAUGGAGGGACGGAGAAGGCUAGGCCAGCCUGGCGUUGGUUGUCCAGGUUUAAGGUGGUAGGCUGAGAUCUUAGGUAAAGCCGGGAUCUUAAGGCCGAGAGCUGAUGACGAGUGUUCUUUUAGAACACGAAGUGGUUGAUGCCAUGCUUCCAAGAAAAGCUUCUAAGCUUCAGGUAACCAGGAACCGUACCCCAAACCGACACAGGUGGUUGGGUAGAGAAUACCAAGGCGCUUGAGAGAACUCGGGUGAAGGAACUAGGCAAAAUGGCACCGUAACUUCGGGAGAAGGUGCGCCGGUGGAGGUGAAGCAUUUACUGCGUAAGCCCCUGCCGGUCGAAGAUACCAGGCCGCUGCGACUGUUUAUUAAAAACACAGCACUCUGCAAACACGAAAGUGGACGUAUAGGGUGUGACGCCUGCCCGGUGCCGGAAGGUUAAUUGAUGGGGUUAGCGCAAGCGAAGCUCUUGAUCGAAGCCCCGGUAAACGGCGGCCGUAACUAUAACGGUCCUAAGGUAGCGAAAUUCCUUGUCGGGUAAGUUCCGACCUGCACGAAUGGCGUAACGAUGGCGGCGCUGUCUCCACCCGAGACUCAGUGAAAUUGAAAUCGCUGUGAAGAUGCAGUGUAUCCGCGGCUAGACGGAAAGACCCCGUGAACCUUUACUAUAGCUUUGCACUGGACUUUGAAUUUGCUUGUGUAGGAUAGGUGGGAGGCUUUGAAGCGUGGACGCCAGUCUGCGUGGAGCCAACCUUGAAAUACCACCCUGGCAACUUUGAGGUUCUAACUCAGGUCCGUUAUCCGGAUCGAGGACAGUGUAUGGUGGGUAGUUUGACUGGGGCGGUCUCCUCCUAAAGAGUAACGGAGGAGUACGAAGGUGCGCUCAGACCGGUCGGAAAUCGGUCGUAGAGUAUAAAGGCAAAAGCGCGCUUGACUGCGAGACAGACACGUCGAGCAGGUACGAAAGUAGGUCUUAGUGAUCCGGUGGUUCUGUAUGGAAGGGCCAUCGCUCAACGGAUAAAAGGUACUCCGGGGAUAACAGGCUGAUACCGCCCAAGAGUUCAUAUCGACGGCGGUGUUUGGCACCUCGAUGUCGGCUCAUCACAUCCUGGGGCUGAAGCCGGUCCCAAGGGUAUGGCUGUUCGCCAUUUAAAGUGGUACGCGAGCUGGGUUUAGAACGUCGUGAGACAGUUCGGUCCCUAUCUGCCGUGGACGUUUGAGAUUUGAGAGGGGCUGCUCCUAGUACGAGAGGACCGGAGUGGACGAACCUCUGGUGUUCCGGUUGUCACGCCAGUGGCAUUGCCGGGUAGCUAUGUUCGGAAAAGAUAACCGCUGAAAGCAUCUAAGCGGGAAACUUGCCUCAAGAUGAGAUCUCACUGGAACCUUGAGUUCCCUAAAGGGCCGUCGAAGACUACGACGUUGAUAGGUUGGGUGUGUAAGCGCUGUGAGGCGUUGAGCUAACCAAUACUAAUUGCCCAUGAGGCUUGACCAU